CGUACACUCCUGCGGGAGGCAGCAGUGGGGAAUAUUGGACAAUGGGCGCAAGCCUGAUCCAGCCAUGCCGCGUGAGUGAUGAAGGCCCUAGGGUUGUAAAGCUCUUUCACCGGUGAAGAUAAUGACGGUAACCGGAGAAGAAGCCCCGGCUAACUUCGUGCCAGCAGCCGCGGUAAUACGAAGGGGGCUAGCGUUGUUCGGAUUUACUGGGCGUAAAGCGCACGUAGGCGGACUAUUAAGUCAGGGGUGAAAUCCCGGGGCUCAACCCCGGAACUGCCUUUGAUACUGGUAGUCUUGAGUUCGAGAGAGGUGAGUGGAAUUCCGAGUGUAGAGGUGAAAUUCGUAGAUAUUCGGAGGAACACCAGUGGCGAAGGCGGCUCACUGGCUCGAUACUGACGCUGAGGUGCGAAAGCGUGGGGAGCAAACAGGAUUAGAUACCCCGGUAGUCCCAUG
rnacentral:rRNA from 1 species